rnacentral:tRNA from 1 species
GGGGGUUUGGCUCAGUGGUAGAGUGCUUGCCUAGCAAGCACAAGGCCCUGGGUUCGGUCCCCAGCUCCG